CCUACGGGUGGCAGCAGUGAGGAAUAUUGGUCAAUGGACGGAAGUCUGAACCAGCCAUGCCGCGUGCAGGAAGACGGCUCUACGAGUUGUAAACUGCUUUUGUACAAGGGUAAACCUGAAUACGUGUAUUCAGCUGAAAGUACUGUACGAAUAAGGAUCGGCUAACUCCGUGCCAGCAGCCGCGGUAAUACGGAGGAUCCAAGCGUUAUCCGGAUUUAUUGGGUUUAAGGGGUGCGUAGGCGGAUUGAUAAGUUAGUGGUGAAAUGUCCGGGCUUAACUCGGGAACUGCCUCUAAUACUGUUGGUCUAGAGAGUAGAUGCGGUAGGCGGAAUGUAUGGUGUAGCGGUGAAAUGCUUAGAGAUCAUACAGAACACCGAUUGCGAAGGCAGCUUACCAAUCUAUAUCUGACGUUGAGGCACGAAAGCGUGGGGAGCAAACAGGAUUAGAUACCCUUGUAGUC
rnacentral:rRNA from 1 species